CGAAAUUGGUAGACGCUACGGACUUAAAAUCCGUCGACUUUCAAAAUCGUGAGGGUUCAAGUCCCUCUAUCCCC
rnacentral:tRNA from 1 species